rnacentral:RNase_P_RNA from 1 species
GAGGAAAGUCCGGGCUCUAUUUAUAAAUGUAUAGCUUUAUAAAAUAAAGUGUAGGUAACUAUAAGGAUCGUGCCACAGAAAUAUACCGCCUAAGUUUUUUAGGUAAGGGUGCAAUGGUGCGGUAAGAGCGUACCAGAAGUAUUGUUAAAGUAUUUGCUAGGUAAACCCCAUAUUAGAGCAAAGAGGUUAUUCGAUAUAUAUCAGUGUUAUUUUUAUAAGUUGUAUAUACUUUUUAUUUCAUUAAUUAUUAAUACUGCAUAAAGUAUUUAGUUUUACUUAAGAUUAACAAUUACCCUUUUUAUGUGAAGCUAAUUGAAUUAGGUCAUUGGAAAGAACUAAACCCGGCUUAU